rnacentral:rRNA from 1 species
CGGACCGUGUACAAGUCUCCUGGAAGGGAGCAUCGUAGAGGGUGACAAUCCCGUCUCUGACACGGAUCCCCGGUGCUAUGUGAUGCGCUCUCGACGAGUCGAGUUGUUUGGGAAUGCAGCUCAAAUCGGGUGGUAAACUCCAUCUAAAGCUAAAUACAGGCGAGAGACCGAUAGCGAACAAGUACCGUGAGGGAAAGAUGAAAAGAACUUUGGAAAGAGAGUUAAACAGUACGUGAAAUUGCUGGAAGGGAAACGCUUGACGUCAGUCGCGUCGUCCGGGGAUCAACCUCGCUUUUCGCUGGGCGUAUUUCCCGGUCGACGGGUCAGCAUCGAUUUCGACCGUCGUAGAAGGACGCGAGUGAAUGUGGCACUCCACGGGGUGUGUUAUAGCCUCGCGUAUGGAUGCGAUGGUCGGGAUCGAGGAACUCGGCACGACCCCUCGAGGGUUCGGGGCUUCGGUCCACGCGCGUGCCCAGGAUGCUGGCGUAAUGGCUUUAAGCGACCCGUCUUGAAACACGGACCAAGGAGUCUAACGUGCCUGCGAGUGUUCGGGUGCAAAACCCGAGCGCGCAACGAAAGUGAAAGUCGAGACCUCCGUCGUGGAGGGCACCGACGCCCGGACCGGAGCCUUUGGCGAUGGAUCUGCGGUAGAGCAUGUAUGUUGGGACCCGAAAGAUGGUGAACUAUGCCUGAAUAGGG